rnacentral:rRNA from 1 species
UUCCGGUUGAUCCUGCCGGAGGCCAUUGCUAUUGGAGUCCGAUUUAGCCAUGCUAGUCGCACGGGUUCAGACCCGUGGCGAAUAGCUCCGUAACACGUGGCCAAACUACCCUAUGGAUCGGAACAACCUCGGGAAACUGAGGCUAAUACCGAAUACCGCUCUCACGUUGGAAUUACAGAGAGCACGAAACGCUCCGGCGCCAUAGGAUGUGGCUGCGGCCGAUUAGGUAGACGGUGGGGUAACGGCCCACCGUGCCGAUAAUCGGUACGGGUUGUGAGAGCAAGAACCCGGAGACGGUAUCUGAGACAAGAUACCGGGCCCUACGGGGCGCAGCAGGCGCGAAACCUUUACACUGCACGAACGUGCGAUAAGGGGACUCCAAGUGCGAGGGCAUACAGUCCUCGCUUUUCCCUACCGUAAGGUGGUAGGUGAAUAAGAGCUGGGCAAGACCGGUGCCAGCCGCCGCGGUAAUACCGGCAGCUCGAGUGAUGGCCAAUAUUAUUGGGCCUAAAGCGUCCGUAGCUGGCCGAACAGGUCCGUCGGGAAAUCCGCUCGCUCAACGAGCGGACGUCCGGCGGAAACCAGUCGGCUUGGGACCGGAAGACCCGAGGGGUACGGCCGGGGUAGGAGUGAAAUCCUGUAAUCCUGGCCGGACCACCGGUGGCGAAAGCGCCUCGGGAGGACGGAUCCGACAGUGAGGGACGAAAGCUUGGGUCACGAACCGGAUUAGAUACCCGGGUAGUCCAAGCUGUAAACGAUGCCCGCUAGGUGUGGCACAGGCUACGAGCCUGUGCUGUGCCGUAGGGAAGCCGUGAAGCGGGCCGCCUGGGAAGUACGUCCGCAAGGAUGAAACUUAAAGGAAUUGGCGGGGGAGCACUACAACCGGAGGAGCCUGCGGUUUAGUUGGAUUCAACGCCGGG